AUAAUGCCGAGGGGAGAGAGAGAGAGAGAGAGUUUGAGAGGCGGAGCAGAGGAGGCAAUUCCUUCUGUUCAUGUCGAUUCCGAGAUAUUCUACCGCUCAAUCUUGAUUUCUCUUCCCUUUCUCUUCGAUCCCUGGCUGCCGCCCGGUUGUUCUUGUCUCUCGCCCUCCCCGAUUCCGUGGGUGAACCUAUUGUACCUAACGACUGUGCGGAAGAUGGUUCUUAUCCUAUGUCUACGGAACUAUCUGGUGAUGAAGGAGGGUUUGACAAAUCUCUUUUGAAGUUCUAUUUGAAUCAAGUGUGUUUUCCUUUUCUUGUACUAUUUUGAUUUUGUUUUGGGUAUUUUCUUUGGGUGGCCCAUGUGUUUUUGUCAUUUCAGAAAGUAAAAUGCUUGAAAGGAAAUUAUCAUCUGCUUC